AUGGCCGACGCCGCCGACGCCCUCUCAGCUCGGAGCAAGGUGCAGGGCUUCCUGGAGGCCGCGUGCUCCGGCGAUCUCGAGGCCCUCCGGAAGUUCGGGUCCGCGCUCGACGAGGAGGGGAAGGGCGCGGCCGCGGUGGCCGCCGGCGUGCGGGACGCCAACAAGCGCACCGCGCUGCACUUCGCCGCGCGGGAGGGACAGACCGAGGUCUGCAAGUUCCUCGUCGAGCAGCUCCGCCUCCCCGUCGACCCCAAGGACGACGAUGGUGAGACUCCACUCAUCCAUGCCGCCCGGCAGGGCCGCCUGGAGACGGUGGAGUACCUGCUCGGCCGCGGGGCCGAUCCUUCCGUCGCAUCUAACAUGGGAGCCACGGCACUGCAUCAUGCUGCAGGGAUAGGACACAUAGAGAUUAUGAAGAUUUUGCUUGGCAAGGGAGUUGAUGUCGAAUCCGAAAGUGAGUCCGGCACUCCCCUUGUUUGGGCUGCUGGUCAUGGGCAGCAAGACGCGGUCAAGCUUCUGCUUGAACACAAUGCUAAGCCGGACACUGAAACUGCUGAUGGUAUCACUUCGCUGUUGUCUGCUGUUGCUGCUGGUUCCCUCCCAUGCUUGGAGGUUCUAAUCCAGGCAGGUGCAAACCCAAAUGUCACUGCUGGUGGAGCAACCCCAUUGCAUAUCGCUGCAGACAGUGGAAAUCUUGAAAUGAUCAAAUGUUUGCUUCAAGCUGGAGGUGACCCAAAUACCUCUGACGAUGAUGGAUUUAAGCCAAUAGAGGUUGCUGCUUUAAGGGAUAACCUUGAAGUCGUUGAACAUCUUUUACCAUUGACAUCUCCAAUCCCAGGUGUCUCGAAUUGGACUGUUGAUGGUAUAGUAAAAUACGUGUCAUCUAAAAUGGAAGAGGAAAAGGCGCAAGAAAAUGAGUCAGCCAGUUUACAGAGACGACAACCCGUUGAGGUGUCACCUGAGGCGAAAAAGAGAUCAUUGGAAGCCAAAUCGAGAGGUGAUGAUGCAUUCAGAAGAAAAGACUUCCUAGUAGCAGUGGAUGCAUAUACACAGGCCAUUGAAUUCGACCCGAAUGACCCCGCGUUGCUUUCGAACAGAAGCCUUUGUUGGCUGCGGGCAGGGCAAGGUGAGCGUGCCCUGGAGGACGCGAGAGCAUGCCGAGCACUGAAACCAGACUGGGCGAAAGCUUGCUUCAGGGAAGGCGCCGCGCUGCGCCUUCUGCAAAGGUUCGAGGAAGCCGCGAAUGCGUUCUACGAGGGGGUGCAGCUCGAGCCGGAGAACAAAGAGCUCGUGAAGGCAUUCAGGGAAGCUGUUGAGGACGGGAGGAAGUUCCACUCGGCAAACAAGCCAACAACAAACGGAACAAAGUCAGAAUGA
rnacentral:rRNA from 1 species